GGCGAAAGCAACUCCUAUCCCUACCUCCACGCGGUACCGGCCGGAAACUAUGAGCAACCUUAGGGAAGAUCGGGUAACCAACCCCGGUGGGAAAUUUGGUCGUUGGCUGACAGGGAAGG
rnacentral:ribozyme from 1 species